GGAGAUGUGGCACGGUGGUAGUGCAUUCGCCUAGAAUGCUUGAAGUCCUGGGUUCACUCCCCAGCAUUUCAA
rnacentral:tRNA from 1 species